GAUUUAUAGGAUAUAGAUUCCUUUGUGAUUAUUUUCACUUUGAUGAUUUCAGAUAGUUUUCAAUCUAAUUCUUAAAUAGACAUUUUUCACUUGCUCGCCGGAGAGGAUAGCAGUAGCGUUUGUUGAACUCUCUUCUCAAGGAACUGACCGGCCACUAUUGGGAGGAUCAAGCCAAGACUAGGGAAUCCAUCUUUCAAGCCACAAAAACAUCACAUCCUUGCUGCAGUUGAGAAUUUUGUCGACUUGUUAAAAAUUAGAUACUCUUCGCCACUUUUCCGAUUGAGGACUACAAAUGCCAUUCAGGAAAGGGUACGUUUCCAUAACGUAGGACCUUCAUCGAUCCUCGGAUUGAUUGUUAUGAGUAUUGAAGAUGGACACGAAGGAGUGCCUGGCAUAGCUCAACUUGAUCUAUUAUACUCUUUUAUCGUCGUC